rnacentral:rRNA from 1 species
GAUGAACGCUGGCGGCGUGCCUAAUACAUGCAAGUCGAGCGAACAGACGAGGAGCUUGCUCCUCUGACGUUAGCGGCGGACGGGUGAGUAACACGUGGAUAACCUACCUAUAAGACUGGGAUAAAUUCGGGAAACCGGAGCUAAUACCGGAUAAUAUAUUGAACCGCAUGGUUCAAUAGUGAAAGACGGUUUUGCUGUCACUUAUAGAUGGAUCCGCGCCGCAUUAGCUAGUUGGUAAGGUAACGGCUUACCAAGGCAACGAUGCGUAGCAGACCUGAGAGGGAGAUCGGCUACACUGGAACUGAGACUCGGCCCAGACUCUUACGGGAGGCAGCAGUAGGGAAUCUUCCGCAAUGGGCGAAAGCCUGACGGAGCAACGCCGCGUGAGUGAUGAAGGUCUUCGGAUCGUAAAACUCUGUUAUUAGGGAAGAACAAAUGUUUAAGUAACUAUGCACGUCUUGACGGUACCUAAUCAGAAAGCCACGGCUAACUACGUG